rnacentral:rRNA from 1 species
UACGUAGGGGGCAAGCGUUAUCCGGAAUUACUGGGUGUAAAGGGAGCGUAGACGGUAGUGUAAGUCUGGAGUGAAAGGCGGGGGCCCAACCCCCGGACUGCUCUGGAAACUAUGUUACUAGAGUGCAGGAGAGGUAUGCGGAAUGCGUGGUGUAGCGGUGAAAUGCAUAGAUAUCACGCAGAACCCCGAUUGCGAAGGCAGCAUACCGGUGCACAACUGACGCUCAGGCACGAAAGCGUGGGUAUCGAACAGG